rnacentral:lncRNA from 10 species
AGAUUAUCUGUGGUCUUUUCUCUUUAUCCCCUCCUUUUGCCCUUUAGGGGAGAGAAGAGUGUGGAGGGAGGAAUCGGGGAAGCCCAGUGCCGUACUGAUGCUCUGGACUUUGUUUUUGGAGGUAGCCUGUGAUGCAGGGCAGAAAAGAGCUGAUGCCUUGGAGAGAGACUGGGAGAGGCUGGAGUUAAUAGAGGGUCCCAGGGUAUCCAAGAAGCUGUCAUCCAGGUCUUCUCCAAUGAAGCUACAACAACCCACAGAGCCAGCAGGGGAACCUACACCUUCGAUGUCAUAUAUGAGCAAACAGUCAUUAGAUGGGCGUCCUUCAUCUUCAUCUGCAUGGAGUGAAUAUGAUGAUUCUGUGAAGGUUUAUUGCAACAUGACUUUUUCAGCACAGCAACAGGAAAAUUUGACUCUGGGUCUGUUCUACAAAAUUAAAGUCGUGGGAUGCUCGUGAAUUAAGAAACAACCAAAAAUGCCAAAUAUUGAGACUCUUGAAAUCAAAUUAAGUAUGAUCUGAGAUUAAGAACUUCUGAGAAGAAUUUAAGCAUGAACAUAUAUAUUGACAUGAAGUCCACUUACAAUGAAGAAAGGAGUGACCUCUCGAUCAACUAUGGAUGUUAUAUUAAUUUCACCAGUUUUCUGAUUAAUGACAAAGAUCCCAUAUGGUGGCUGAUCAAUUCCUACUCCAGAGAUGCGGGUCUGUGCUUGCACUGGAGCUACAGAAGGAAACUCUUUGCCCUCUUAAGGAGUUUAUCAAUGUUGUCAUCAUGCAACUUUAAUCUUCAAUUUGUUUUAAAUGUAAAGUUUUCGAAGAAAGUAGAUUUAUUUAGGUGACAAGAGUUAUCUGGGUUUGAGUGGAAGCUCUGAAUUCUGAAAAUGGGAAGGGUGUAUUAGCAGAAAAGGAAGGAGACCACGCGAAUAAAUGGUUAUAGAAACCAGAACUCUUUCUUUGAAAUAAAAUAUUGUUUGGCUGUAAACAAAUC